rnacentral:rRNA from 1 species
AGACCCGAAACCCGGUGAUCUAGCCAUGGGCAGGUUGAAGGUUGGGUAACACUAACUGGAGGACCGAACCGACUAAUGUUGAAAAAUUAGCGGAUGACCUGUGGCUGGGGGUGAAAGGCCAAUCAAACCGGGAGAUAGCUGGUUCUCCCCGAAAGCUAUUUAGGUAGCGCCUCGUGAAUUCAUCUCCGGGGGUAGAGCACUGUUUCGGCUAGGGGGCCAUCCCGGCUUACCAACCCGAUGCAAACUGCGAAUACCGGAGAAUGUUAUCACGGGAGACACACGGCGGGUGCUAACGUCCGUCGUGAAGAGGGAAACAACCCAGACCGCCAGCUAAGGUCCCAAAGUCAUGGUUAAGUGGGAAACGAUGUGGGAAGGCCCAGACAGCCAGGAUGUUGGCUUAGAAGCAGCCAUCAUUUAAAGAAAGCGUAAUAGCUCACUGGUCGAGUCGGCCUGCGCGGAAGAUGUAACGGGGCUAAACCAUGCACCGAAGCUGCGGCAGCGACACUGUGUGUUGUUGGGUAGGGGAGCGUUCUGUAAGCCUGCGAAGGUGGCCUGUGAGGGUUGCUGGAGGUAUCAGAAGUGCGAAUGCUGACAUAAGUAACGAUAAAGCGGGUGAAAAGCCCGCUCGCCGGAAGACCAAGGGUUCCUGUCCAACGUUAAUCGGGGCAGGGUGAGUCGACCCCUAAGGCGAGGCCGAAAGGCGUAGUCGAUGGGAAACGGGUUAAUAUUCCCGUACUUGGUGUUACUGCGAAGGGGGGACGGAGAAGGCUAUGUUGGCCGGGCGACGGUUGUCCCGGUUUAAGCGUGUAGGUGUGUGUUCCAGGUAAAUCCGGUUCACUUUAACACUGAGGCGUGAUGACGAGGCACUACGGUGCUGAAGCAACAAAUGCCCUGCUUCCAGGAAAAGCCUCUAAGCAUCAGGUAACAUCAAAUCGUACCCCAAACCGACACAGGUGGUCAGGUAGAGAAUACCAAGGCGCUUGAGAGAACUCGGGUGAAGGAACUAGGCAAAAUGGUGCCGUAACUUCGGGAGAAGGCACGCUGACACGUAGGUGAAGUGAUUUACUCAUGGAGCUGAAGUCAGUCGAAGAUACCAGCUGGCUGCAACUGUUUAUUAAAAACACAGCACUGUGCAAACACGAAAGUGGACGUAUACGGUGUGACGCCUGCCCGGUGCCGGAAGGUUAAUUGAUGGGGUCAGCGCAAGCGAAGCUCCUGAUCGAAGCCCCGGUAAACGGCGGCCGUAACUAUAACGGUCCUAAGGUAGCGAAAUUCCUUGUCGGGUAAGUUCCGACCUGCACGAAUGGCGUAAUGAUGGCCAGGCUGUCUCCACCCGAGACUCAGUGAAAUUGAACUCGCUGUGAAGAUGCAGUGUACCCGCGGCAAGACGGAAAGACCCCGUGAACCUUUACUAUAGCUUGACACUGAACAUUGAGCCUUGAUGUGUAGGAUAGGUGGG